UUAGAGUUUGAUCCUGGCUCAGGAUGAACGCUAGCGAUAGGCCUAACACAUGCAAGUCGAGGGGCAUCACAUGAGGUAGCAAUACCGAUGGUGGCGACCGGCGCACGGGUGAGUAACACGUAUGCAACCUGCCUUCAACAAGGGGAUAACUCGUUGAAAGACGGACUAAUACCCUAUAACACAGGGCUCCCGCAUGGGAAUAUUUGUUAAAGAUUUAUCGGUUGAAGAUGGGCAUGCGUUCCAUUAGUUAGUUGGGGGGGUAACGGCCCACCAAGGCAACGAUGGAUAGGGGAACUGAGAGGUUUAUCCCCCACACUGGUACUGAGACACGGACCAGACUCCUACGGGAGGCAGCAGUGAGGAAUAUUGGUCAAUGGACGCAAGUCUGAACCAGCCACGUCGCGUGAAGGAAGACGGCCCUACGGGUUGUAAACUUCUUUUGUAAGGGAAUAAAGUGAGUCACGUGUGGCUUUUUGCAUGUACCUUACGAAUAAGGAUCGGCUAACUCCGUGCCAGCAGCCGCGGUAAUACGGAGGAUCCGAGCGUUAUCCGGAUUUAUUGGGUUUAAAGGGUGCUCAGGCGGGCCAUUAAGUCGGCGGUGAAAUUUUGCGGCUCAACCGUAAAAGUGCCUUCGAUACUGGUGGUCUUGAGUGUGGAUGAGGUAGGCGGAAUUUGUGGUGUAGCGGUGAAAUGCAUAGAUAUCACGAGGAACUCCGAUUGCUAAGGCAGCUUACUAAGCCAUAACUGACGCUCAAGCACGAAGGCGUGGGGAUCAAACAGGAUUAGAUACCCUGGUAGUCCACGC
rnacentral:rRNA from 1 species